AAAUUGAAGAGUUUGAUCAUGGCUCAGAUUGAACGCUGGCGGCAGGCCUAACACAUGCAAGUCGAACGGUAACAGAAAGCAGCUUGCUGCUUUGCUGACGAGUGGCGGACGGGUGAGUAAUGUCUGGGAAACUGCCUGAUGGAGGGGGAUAACUACUGGAAACGGUAGCUAAUACCGCAUAACGUCGCAAGACCAAAGAGGGGGACCUUCGGGCCUCUUGCCAUCGGAUGUGCCCAGAUGGGAUUAGCUAGUAGGUGGGGUAACGGCUCACCUAGGCGACGAUCCCUAGCUGGUCUGAGAGGAUGACCAG
rnacentral:rRNA from 1 species